UACGGAGGUUGCAAGCGUGUUCCGGAAUUAUUGGUCGUAAAGCGCGCGCAGGCGGCCGCUUAAGUCUGAUGUGAAAGCCCCCGGCUCAACCGGGGAGGGCCAUUGGAAACUGGGAGGCUUGAGUAUAGGAGAGAAGAGUGGAAUUCCACGUGUAGCGGUGAAAUGCGUAGAGAUGUGGAGGAACACCAGUGGCGAAGGCGACUCUUUGGUCUGUAACUGACGCUGAGGCGCGAAAGCGUGGGGAGCAAACAGG
rnacentral:misc_RNA from 1 species